rnacentral:lncRNA from 1 species
CUCAGAGCUCUGUGCACUCCCAGCUGAGAGAAACCCAGCCAAGGGCUUUUCCCAUAUACAGGAGAGCCUCUAAUUUAAAUGAGUGCUAUUAACUUUGGUUGUCCUCUCAAUGGUUUUUAGUUUAAAAUUAACAAAGCAUAUGACUGAGUUUUUCUCAGAGUGGCUUCCAAAAGGAUCCAGGAGGCAGGAGAGUAUGGUGAGACCUGGCAGGUAGGAGAGCUGCCCCUGUGAAGCCUGCUUACUCCAGCUAGAGUGCUCUCUCUCACUUUAAUACUCACCCUGUUCCCAUCUUAAUGACAUUUCACUCAAUCAAAGAAGAUGUGCUGCAAAAAUAAAGGUACCAGGUCAUGCCAAGAUAUGUGUGGGAAGAGUAGAGAGAAUGUGUGGAGCACCAAGAAUUAUAUGCCCAAGGACAAUCAGAUUUGUACCAUCUUUUUCUAAUCUUUUCUAUUCUAUUUGAUUGUGGUUUGCCAAAAUCAACACCACUGAUUUUAAUACAGGUGCCUUUGUUCCCAGAAAUGGUCUGAAUGAAACCUGGGAUUAUGAAUUCUUUCCCACGUCAUGCUGAACCUUGGGAAGCUUUCCAUACAGCAGAUGGAGCUUGUAAACAUGACUUUGGGUGCCAUUGUAUCCAUCCAAGUAAUAUCCAAGAUGUGAAUAUUGCAAUUGCUGCAUGGAGAAGCUGCCAGACUUAGAAGAGUCAAAAUUUGGGCUUCAGGGCUGAAAUGGAGAAAGGCUUUGGAAAUCUUCAAGUUGUCUUUCAUGCAAACCUUUCAGGCACAUUGGGGUGUAGAAUAUGG